rnacentral:misc_RNA from 1 species
AUCACUUUUUGGUUAUCUCCCGUAGAAGUAAUUCCAAGAUGGCGACAAAGGUUAAAGUUGGUUUUUCCCUGAUUUAAUGCUUUUUUCCAAUAUUAAAUGCACCAAUAUGAGUUCCCGAAGGUGGUUUUGGCCCACUAUCAGUGGAAUUGAAGCUGAGAGGGUUUUAAUGAAAAGGGGCGUUGAUUGCAGCUUCCUAGCUCGACCUAGUUCCUCAAAUCCCGGCGAUUUCACCCUGUCUGUCAGGCGUAAUGGUGAAGUUACUCAUAUUAAAAUCCAAAACUCUGGAGACUUUUACGACCUGUAUGGUGGUGAAAAGUUUGCAACGUUGUCAGAGUUAGUUCAGUAUUACACAGAAAAACAGGGACAACUUAAGGAGAAAAAUGGCGAUGUUAUUGAGCUAAAAUAUCCAUUGAAUUGUGAUUGCCCUACAACAGAAAGAUGGUUCCAUGGACAUUUGUCAGGCAAAGAAGCCGAAAAACUAAUACUAGAUAGAGGAAAAAACGGCAGUUUCUUAGUCAGGGAAAGCCAGUCCAUGCCCGGCGAUUUCGUUCUUUCGGUAAGGACUGACGACAAAGUGACUCACGUAAUGAUCAGGUGCACUUCGGACAACAAAUACGACGUUGGUGGUGGAGAACAAUUCAACACCCUAGCCGACUUGAUAGAGUACUACAAGAAGAACCCUAUGGUUGAAACGUCAGGAACGGUAGUUCAUCUAAAACAACCCUUCAAUGCCACCAGAAUCAACGCUUCUGGCAUACAUUCCAGGGUAAAACAGCUACAGUCUGAGAAUGGACCAAAUAGUUUUGGAAAGGCUGGAUUCUGGGAAGAGUUUGAAUCACUGCAACAGCAAGAAUUUAAACACUUGUAUUCCAGGAAGGAAGGCAGCAAAGCUGAAAAUAGAAAUAAGAAUAGAUACAAAAAUAUAUUACCAUUUGAUGAUACAAGGGUGAAACUAAAAAACGUAGACCUCAACGAAGCGGGUGCAGACUACAUCAACGCCAACUAUAUUAAAUGGAAAUCAGACGACACCAUGGGCGGAGAACUUGGGGCCGACCCCAGCGGAAAGGUCUACAUCGCCACGCAGGGUUGCCUACCCUCCACGGUGGCCGAUUUCUGGCAAAUGGUGUGGCAAGAAAAUUGCCGCGUGAUAGUCAUGACUACCAAAGAAACAGAGAGGGGCAAAAAUAAGUGCGCUAGAUACUGGCCUGAUCAGAAUGGUUCGAAAGGGUAUGGGAAUAUAGUGGUUAAGAACUUGAUUGAGUCCUCUACGCCGCACUAUACUCUGAGGGAGUUCAUGGUUACUAUGGAAGGUUCGAGUGUUGAACGAAAAGUUUUCCACUAUCAUUUUACUGCCUGGCCAGAUCAUGGAGUUCCUUCAGACCCAGGAUGCGUUCUGAACUUUCUUCAUGAAGUUAACAAACGUCAAGAGCAACUACAACAAGAACUACCCAAUACCCAACCACCUGGAGCCAUUUUAGUCCACUGUUCAGCAGGUAUUGGUAGAACCGGUACUUUUAUAGUCAUAGACAUGAUCUUAGAUCAACUGAAAAAGUACGGUCUCGAUUGUGAAAUUGAUAUUCAGCGUACAAUUCAGAUGGUCAGAUCGCAGCGGUCUGGCAUGGUCCAGACAGAAGCUCAGUAUAAGUUCGUGUAUUUAGCUGUGCAACAUCACAUAGAAACGACGACUGAAAGAAUGAAGGCUGAACAAAAAUCAAUACAGUCCGGUAGAGAGUAUACCAACAUUCGGUACAGCAGUGAUAUGGGUAGUUUAGGCACAGCCCUUUCUGGAAGUUUAGGGAAUGUCGGUUCACUCGGUAGGCCAGUAAGCACGCCCCAUUUUCCACAGUCACCCAGUCCGGUGGUUUUGAGGCCUGAAGCGAAAAAACCACCUAGAAUAGUGUCGGAAAUACCACUUCCCAGGCUCAUAUUAGAUGUUGAGUGUCGUGUAUAGCGUAGUAAUCCUCUUAUUUGACGACUGAGCUGUGGUGGCAAGCUGUCAAUCGAGUUACCUCCCGAAGAGAUGAUCAAGCCGAUGCUGUACGAGAACAUUCCCAGCAACUCGGGGGCGCACGCGUGUCCCGCCCCGCCCCCUCCGCCGCGCAAGACGUGACGUCAGAGCUUCUUUUAAACGCGCACAACGUGUACCUUCUGCGGCAACGACCUCUGCCGGCAGAGCAUUGAACUAUUUCACUGUAUCAAAUCCAAAAAGAGAGAGAAAGAGAUAUAUUCGGUGUUUUAACGACGAUCAUCAAUAUGAAGCUGUGUGAUAGGUAUUAUUUAUUGGGGCUUUACGAAGGAUUUAGUCCCUUAACUGUACUAUUAUAGAUAGGUAUUUACAGUGUGUAAUGGGCAUAGCGUUCGCAUCAAAUAGUAGUUUUUUCCUAAUGAUAGGGAUGUUAACUGUUAAUGUAAUGUAAAUUAUUUAUUCAGGUUUGACUUAAGGAAGGAGCUAUCAUUAUUUUCUUUUGUUUUCAGCUUGUUCAACCAUUUCCAAUUAUAGUGUAGCCUCUCUCACAUAUUUAGAUACUCUCUUUGUAGUUGGGCCCAUUGUUGUCUAUUGUUGGCUCUGCGGACCCAAGUUAUCCCUACUAAUUUCCUAACAUCAUUGUCGUUUAGUACAAACGGCAACGUUGUUUAAAAUCCUAAUUCGCAGAAAUACAAAACUAUAAUAAUAUGGCGUCUAAGUCGCGUUUUAUCCUAAAUUGGGAUAAUUAUAGUAAACAUAU